rnacentral:rRNA from 1 species
ACCAGACUCCUACGGGAGGCAGCAGUGGGGAAUAUUGCACAAUGGGGGAAACCCUGAUGCAGCGACGCCGCGUGAGUGAAGAAGUAUUUCGGUAUGUAAAGCUCUAUCAGCAGGAACGAGACAAGACGGUACCUGACUAAGAAGCCCCGGCUAACUACGUGCCAGCAGCCGCGGUAAUACGUAGGGGGCAAGCGUUAUCCGGAAUCACUGGGUGUAAAGGGAGCGUAGACGGCUGUGCAAGCCUGAAGUGAAAGGCGGGGGCCCAACCCCUGGACUGCUUUGGGAACUGUACGGCUGGAGUGCAGGAGAGGUAAGUGGAAUUCCUAGUGUAGCGGUGAAAUGCGUAGAUAUUAGGAGGAACACCAGUGGCGAAGGCGGCUUACUGGACGUUAACUGACGUUGAGGCUCGAAAGCGUGGGGAGCAAACAGGAUUAGAUACCCGGGUAUCG